rnacentral:rRNA from 1 species
CCUACGGGUGGCUGCAGUGGGGAAUAUUGGACAAUGGGGGCAACCCUGAUCCAGCCAUGCCGCGUGUGUGAAGAAGGCCCUCGGGUUGUAAAGCACUUUCAGUGAGGAAGAACGCCUGGUGGUUAAUACCCAUCAGGAAAGACAUCACUCACAGAAGAAGCACCGGCUAACUCCGUGCCAGCAGCCGCGGUAAUACGGAGGGUGCGAGCGUUAAUCGGAAUACUGGGCGUAAAGCGCGCGUAGGUGGCUUGAUAAGCCGGUUGUGAAAGCCCCGGGCUCAACCUGGGAACGGCAUCCGGAACUGUCAAGCUAGAGUGCAGGAGAGGAAGGUAGAAUUCCCGGUGUAGCGGUGAAAUGCGUAGAGAUCGGGAGGAAUACCAGUGGCGAAGGCGGCCUUCUGGACUGACACUGACACUGAGGUGCGAAAGCGUGGGUAGCAAACAGGAUUAGAUACCCCGGUAGUC